rnacentral:other from 1 species
GGGCCCCUGCGCGGUUGGUGAUGAGCGAAACUAUUCUUGAACCAACACCUAUUUGACGGGUUCGACGUCCCGCCUCCCCGAUCCAGCCUUGUGGCGAGUGACGGGAGCCGGGCAGAACCCCAACCUGUGGUUUGCAGGUUCAAAUAGGGUUGCUCACACGGCCGAGUGCGGGGGCUCU